rnacentral:lncRNA from 1 species
AAACUUCUGAGAUAUAUCCGCAGUGAUCAUGCCGGUGAAUGCGAGUUCCAUGAGGGAACAGACUUGUCUGACCUGUUCACAGUCACGUACCCAGUGCUGAGGUCAGCACCUGGCACAGAGUGGGGACUCCAUAGCCAUUUGUUGAGUGAAUUCAUGAAAGAAUGAAUUGACCAUGUCAGCAGCUGCUUCUAGAUUCCACGCCCUUUACUUGGUCCUCCGUCUCAAAUUAAGCAUCAGCUGGGUAAUGGACUCAUGUCACAACUGCUCAUCAAAAGGCACACUGACAGGCUCAGAAUGGUGACAUUCUGCAAAGUCAUCAGCAGUCUUGACAUUUACGCUGAUCAGUUUUCUUCUCUGACCACUCACAAAAUGAGAAUAUAUCUGACAAACUUGCAGCACCCGGGUGGAUUACGAUGCAUCAGCAUUCGUUUUCCAAACGCGUUCUCUAACACAUCAUACAAGAUACGGCACCCAUAGUCCUAGUUCAAUGCUGUGUACAUCUGAAUGAUAUUGAACCACAGAGGUUCUUUUUUUUCCAGAUCUUGUGAGCUUGUGAAAUGUUUCUGCAUUAGUUCAGUCAUGCUCUGAAACCAAUUUGGUGUGAUGUUGCAACUGCAACUAGAGGUGAAGGGGGUAGGCCCACAUAAACACAUGAUUUCUUUUACAAAAUCUUUUAUUAUUUCUCUAGGGCACAUGGAAAUAUUUUUAUGAAACCUUCAAGUUACAUAAAACACAGAGGAAGAAACCAAUACAGUUGCAAGUUUUAUUUCUCCUUGGAGAUUCAGAAGAGAUGGAAAACCCAUGCCAUUAACCACUGGAGCUGACCCAGUGUUACUUCAAAUGUGCUUUUCGUUUGUAAGGACAUAAGCACUAAUACAGCUUAGACUUCUGAGGUCCUAUCUAUCCUGCAAGUUAGCACACUUAGCAUGAAAGUUCACAGUGCUCUUAACACCAGGCUAAAAAAAUCCUGAGAUUGCUUUAGCCUAAAUAUUGUGUAAUCAUUAGAAUUCUAUUGAUAGUAUAUAUUCAAGCAUUGUUAUUUAUCAAUACUGGUUCACUGCAUACUUUUCUGUUUAUUCACAGUAUUUUCAAUGGUUUCUCUAGCACAGUACUUCCAGUUUUCAUUUUGAAAUAAUAAAUGUCUGUUUUACAAAAUGUGGGAGAUAAAAAAGUAGUCAAAAUAUCUAUUUUUCCAAAAUCACAUGAGCAUCACCAUUAAUAUUUUUAUAUACAUACUUUCAAUCUUUUUUUUAAUUUGCAUACUGUUGUAUACAAGGCAUAUGCAAUUUCACAAUCUACUUUUAAAGAUAGCUAGUUCAAAUAGUUCAUAAACAUCUUAAUGGUUGCAUUAAAAUUUCAAUCAUAAUUUAUAUUUAAAAAUUACUGUAACUUGCCACUUCCUUAAAGAAACUUAGGCACAGAUACUGAUGUAUUUAGCAAUAAAUGCAAAGCAGCAACUCUGUGUAACUCCAAUCCUGGGAAACAGAUCUGACCCUUAUAUACCAGGUUGUUUGUCCAUGAUGCAGUUCUCAUUCUUCAAAUAAAUCAGUUCUAUUUAACAUGAUAAUCUAUCAUAAUGAGAAGCCAUUACACAUGCAGCUAAAAUGUUGGAUGUUUUAGAAGUUAAAGACAUUUUAACUGAAACUUCAAAAAUAGAAUAUCACCUACUAGUAACAUUAAGCAAAGCACUUCAUCUUUCUAUGACUUGAUUUAUUCUCUUUAAAUAAAAUGUCAAAAAUAUUUUCAUUUAAUUCUAUUGCUUCAAAACAUAUGAAAUUUAAAAUUGAAAGAAUUACAAGACCCAUUUAGCAAUCAACACUUACGGUAGGAGAGUUUAAUGCAGAUUUCUCAGUAAAUGGUAGAUCAGUAACUGUAAGGAAUGAAUGUGUGCACUCAGUCAUGUCUGACUCUCUGUAGUGCCAUGGACUGUGGCCCACCAGGCUCCUCUGCCCACGGGAUUUUCUAGGCAAGAAUACUGGAGCGGGUUGCCAUUUCCUUCUCCAUAUGACUUGAUUUCUAAUUUCUUUUAAAAAGGGAAAAUGAUGUAUAAAUGAAGAUAAAGCUGUCAUGCAAAUCAGCAGUGGUACUGACUGCCUGAAAUAAAGUUCAGCUAAAACAAUCACAAUUCACAUAUACUUCUAAGACUGGCUCACAGAACUAUGUCUGUAUCUGAGAAAAACAGGAUCUCAGGCUAUACUACAAAAAUCUCAAUCAUCGGCCCAGAUUUGAUGUGGAAUGAUACUCUGCAAACAAAGAUUUUUCACCUUUUAACUUCUCUGGAUCUCAGCUGCAUUAUGUGAAAAUGGGGCAAAGAGUAUUAUCAUUAGAUAACAAUAUGUGAAAAACUUUGGAGGUUUUGGGAAGAUUUUUCUGUGUUCUGAAGUACUAUUACUUAUAUAAAAAGUCAUUAAAACUGCCAUUAGCAAAUAUGAAAAGUGCUUCUGAAUAUUUUUCAGCUUGGAAAAAAUAUCUUUAUAGAAGAAACACUUUUAGAAUCUUUUAAGCAAUAGUGACCUAUGGUCACCUACAAAUCAUUUUCACUAGUAUCUAGUUAUGCUUAGAUUGACUUGAACAAAAGAAGAUAGAGCAAUGUAAAAGUGCCAUUCUGAUGUUUACUUUGUGAUAUUAUUUUUCCCUGAAUAUAAAGGUCAUACUUAAUUUCCCACACUACUGGUAGGACUGCAAAACUGGUUCAAUCUCUUUGGAUAACUGUUUGGUAGCAUACANNNNNNNNNNNNNNNNNNNNNNNNNNNNNNNNNNNNNNNNNNNNNNNNNNNNNNNNNNNNNNNNNNNNNNNNNNNNNNNNNNNNNNNNNNNNNNNNNNNCAAUCUCUUUGGAUAACUGUUUGGUAGCAUACAGUACUGCUAAGUAUAUGCAUAUCCCAUGACCACUGAUCCUACUCCUUAAUCUAUAUAAAAAAUAUGUAUAUCUUUUCACCAAAAGCCAGGUAUAAAAUUUUCAUAAGAGCAAUAGUACAUAAUAGCUGCCAAGAGUAGCAAUAGCCCCCAAUUGAAAAUAGUCCAAGUAUCUACUGACCAUUAGAAUGAGUGAAUGUAUCAUCCAAAUGAAUAAACUAUACCUCUAUGCAACAAUACAGGUGACUGUCACAAAUGCAAUGCUGAAUGACAGAAGCCAGAUGCAAAAAAGCAUAACUACAUGAAUUCAUAGAUUUAAAGUUCAAAUAGCUGAGAUUAAUUUGGCCUGCUUAGAACUCUGGUACCUUAGAGGGUCUUUUAAGGCGGUUUUUUUUUUUUCUUUUCUGUUUGGCUUAUUUUCACUAGUAAAUUCAGUAUUAUUUUAUAUCUUGCUACUACAACCAUUCUCACACUUAACUAACUCUGGAGGAGUAGUCCCUUUCUGUUUCAGCUGAUGAAUUCAAGCCAGUGUCAUCAGACCAGUUCUGACAAUGAUCAAAGGAAAGAAACAGUCUGAAGAAGACCUAGCUAUUUUUUAUGCUUAGCUAUCACUGCACUUCUAUCUACAAAAACAUUCUCUCUUGUCAUUAUAGAUUUUUUUUUAGUACACACAGAAUUCAUAGCAAUGCAUAUUAGUAAGAAAACAGUAUUAGCAAGUGAUAGAUUGUGUGUUGAGGUGUCACACAUUUCCAAACAUUUACAGAAGACAGAAUGCAGGGUCAGUUUCACAUACACUAUUCCUGUUUCUUUCACAGUCGCUCCCUUUCCUCUUUCUGUCUACCCCACUUCCUGCUAUCUCCUGUUUUCUGGCUGAUAAGAAGCUCCACCCACACAGGAUCACUUGAUUCUGCCCUGUUUCCUGGGGCAUGGCCUCUCUGAAAACUUACCAAAGCAGCUAUUAAGCUGCUUUUCCACCCUUGGAAAGUAGAGAUUUGAGACUUUCAACCAGAUGGUCUACAAGAUCCCUACACAUUUAAUAGCAGCAGCAACUGCCAGGAUAAUUUCCCCUCAGAAACAGCUUUAAAAGUAAGAGUUUGAUGAUCUUGAGUUUAUGCUUUCAUUGUCUCUUGACAUUAUGUAAUUGAUUCCCACAAAAACAACCAAAGCCUUUAAAACAAGAUGGAUUAUGAUACCUUACUUCAAAAUAUUUUCUUCAAAUUUAAUUACAUUGAAAUAUUUUAUUUCUUAUUUAGCUAAGAGUAACAUUUCAGAAAAGAAAGGUUUCAACUUUCCAAUUGGAAAAUAAAAAAUAUAAGCAAAAAGCCAAGAUUCUCACAUCAGAGAAUACAUUUUUGAGAGCCAGCAAAUAAAAUCAUUGUUACCAAAUGAAGUCAUGAUUUACUUUAAAUAAAUGAAAUCAUUAUGUAUGUAUGUAUGUNNNNNNNNNNNNNNNNNNNNNNNNNNNNNNNNNNNNNNNNNNNNNNNNNNNNNNNNNNNNNNNNNNNNNNNNNNNNNNNNNNNNNNNNNNNNNNNNNNNUCAUGAUUUACUUUAAAUAAAUGAAAUCAUUAUGUAUGUAUGUAUGUCUGUGUGUGUGUGUUGCAAAGUACACUAAGAUUCCUAUUUUCUCAGUUUGUGGCUUGGCCAUGUAAGCCAGUAGAAAGUGAACAGGAACUAAAAAACCUCUUGAUGAAAGUGAAAGCAGAGAGUGAAAAAGUUGGCUUACAGCUCAACAUUCAGAAAACGAAGAUCA